CUGUUUGGAACCUGGGAUUCAAAUGGCCUGGCAGGAAGUGCUCUAGCAGAGGGACUCUGGCCUUGCAAGAGUCCCUAUUUCCCCCUUUUUUUUUGCUUUUCACACAGUAAAACCCUGCUUUACUUCCCUUUGAGUCGUCUGUGAGCCUAAAUUUUUGUGGCUGUGGGAAGGACAAGAACCCCAUCUUUAGCUGAAAUAAGGAAAAGUUCCGCAACAUUUUUGGCACACACCCUGGGGGCUCCGGAAGUGAAAGUUCCCAGGAGAUGAAGACAUUGAAACUGCCAUCAUAAAAUUAAUAAAAGGUUCAAGAUUAGAAUUAUGGUAUUGGCCUGGAUUUUGUUAAGACAGAGACAUAGGAUUAUGUUGGCUCGGAGAAUGAUACCUCAAAGGCUGGUGCUGAGAGUUCUUAGAAGCUGCUUCAGAAUCAAGUUGUCUUCUCCUCAUAGUCCUCCACUAAAGCCUGAACAACAAGGAAUGCUGUCGGAACUGGACCUUGAUGAAGGAAAUACUUUCUGACUCAUUGGAAUUUGUUAUAGUCAAAAAAUGCUUGCUGUUUGGAAACUUGUGAAGACCUGCAUCCCUUUGUAUCUCAAAUAAAGACAGAGGUAAGUUGAAG
rnacentral:lncRNA from 1 species